rnacentral:rRNA from 1 species
UUUAAAGAGAGUUUGAUCCUGGCUCAGGACGAACGCUGGCGGCGUGCCUAAUACAUGCAAGUCGAACGAACGGAGGAAGAGCUUGCUCUUCCAAAGUUAGUGGCGGACGGGUGAGUAACACGUGGGCAACCUGCCUGUAAGUUGGGG